AGUGAACGCUGGCGGUAGGCCUAACACAUGCCAGUCGAACGGAUGCACAGUACUUGCUUGUUGUUACGGGUGCCGACUGGUGGAUGGUUGCUGAAUACCUCCGUGUUUGCUUUUUCUUGGGUGCUGACAUAGGGGAUCUUACGCCAUUACUCCUUACGACGUACGUGUGGAAGCUUGGGAUCUUCGGCUCUCACGCGAUCCUAUGUGCGGAUGUCGGAUUAGCUAGUUGGCGGGGUAAAGGCCCACCAAGGCGACGAUCCGUAGCUGGUCUGAGAGGAUGAUCAGCCACACUGGAACUGAGACACGGUCCAGACUCCUACGGGAGGCAGCAGUGGGGAAUAUUGGACAAUGGGCGAAAGCCUGAUCCAGCCAUGCCGCGUGUGUGAAGAAGGCCUUCGGAUUGUAAAGCACUUUAAGUGGGGAAGAAGGGCAGUAAGUUAAUACCUCGCUGUUUUGACGGUACCAAAAGAAUAAGCACCGGCUAACUUCGUG
rnacentral:rRNA from 1 species